GGCGCUAUUUAGGGGGGAGGGCGAAAAAUGGAAGGGGCAAGAAAGAAAUGGCUAUUUCUUUCUCGCCCUUUCCAUUUUUCGCCCUCCCCCCUAAAUUGCGCC